rnacentral:rRNA from 1 species
GAUGAACGCUGGCGGCGUGCCUAACACAUGCAAGUCGAGCGAUUUACUUCGGUAAAGAGCGGCGGACGGGUGAGUAACGCGGGGGUAACCUGCCCUGUACACACGGAUAACAUACCGAAAGGUAUGCUAAUACGAGAUAAUAUGCUUUUAUCGCAUGGUAGAAGUAUCAAAGCUUUUGCGGUACAGGAUGGACCCGCGUCUGAUUAGCUAGUUGGUGAGGUAACGGCUCACCAAGGCAACGAUCAGUAGCCGACCUGAGAGGGUGAUCGGCCACACUGGAACUGAGACAGGGUCAAGACUCCGACGGGAGGCAGCAGUGGGGAAUCCUCCGAAAUGGGCGAAAGCCUGACGGAGCAACGCCGCGUGAGUGAUGAAGGUCUUCGGAUCGGAGAACUCUGUUAUUAGGGAAGAACAAAUGUGUAAGUAACGAUGCACGUAUUGACGGUACCUAAGCAGAAAGCCACGGCUAACUAAGUG